CGGGGCGGGGCAGAGCCGCUCUGGAACUGCUCUUCGAUUCUUCGCGCUGUGCGCUGCUAUCAGAAAGUGGAGUCUUUUCUGACCGUGGCCUGACUGCACAGUGUCCAAGGCUGGAAUAGAAAUCAUGCCCGUGACUCUGGGUUACUGGGAUAUCCGUGGACUGGGUCACGCCAUCCGCCUGCUCCUGGAAUACACAGAGACAGACUACCAAGAGAAGAGAUACUCCAUGGGGGAUGCUCCCGAUUAUGACCGAAGCCAGUGGCUGAGUGACAAAUUCAAGCUGGGCCUGGACUUUCCCAAUCUGCCCUACUUAAUUGAUGGAUCACACAAGAUCACCCAGAGCAACGCCAUCCUGCGCUACCUUGCCCGCAAGCACAACCUGUGUGGGGAGACGGAAGAGGAGAGGGUUCGUAUGGACAUUUUGGAGAACCAGGCCAUGGACAGCCGCAUCCAGAUGGGCAUGCUCUGCUACAGUCCUGACUUCGAGAAACGGAAGCCAGAGUUCCUGAAGGGCCUCCCAGAUCACCUGAAGCUCUACUCUGAGUUCCUGGGGAAGCAGCCAUGGUUUGCAGGGGACAAGAUCACCUAUGUGGAUUUCCUUGUCUAUGAUGUCCUUGACCAGCACCGUGUAUUUGAACCCAAGUGCCUGGAUGCCUUCCCAAACCUGAAGGACUUCUUGUCCCGCUUUGAGAUUUGUGUAUUGGAGCCUUUAGUACAGCAACAGAUCUCAGCCUGGAAGCGUUUCUCCUUCUCCUCCACUCUCCAUGAAGGGAUGCAUUUAUUUUUCAGUUAGUUCUCACCAGCUCUGGUUCUGGUCCACAUGGCGUGACCUUGGGAGUGUGCAAGAGGGCCUGAAGACGAUCUCUGCCUAUAUGAAGAGCAGCCGCUUCCUCCCAAGGCCUGUGUACUUAAAACUGGCCACAUGGGGUAACAAGUAGGAGCCCGCACUGCUGGUACUGGUAGGGAGACCUGUCAUGCACCCGGCGCCCUGGACGCCCUGGACACUGACUGGGCUGCAGCUAGCUUCCAGUAACUUCUCUGCAUCAGUCCUUCCGUUUCUUUCUCUGUGUUUUCAUUACCUUCCCCUCUACAAGAAUGCUUGUCUCCUGUUUCACACAGCCUCUUCUCACUCACUCAAGCCUCUCAAUUUCAAACCACCAUCCUUGGCAAGCAUCUUAUUGUCAUGUUUCUUAUCAGACGACCUUCACUGUACUCUGAGCAGCUCCGAUGAUGGCUUUACUCCCCAUGGUUGCCCAAAGAUCCAUACUGCCUGGUAUGCAGUUUCGGUCUCCAGACUGGGAUGGCCCAUCCUUGUUUGAUCUCUAGUAAAGUAUGAGGCAUA